UGCCGUGCUGCUGGAAGCCGGCUGGCCAUUGGCGUUGAUGACGCCAGGCUGCUUGAUACCGGCCUGCUGUUCCGGCGUCUGCUGCGGCAGC
rnacentral:tRNA from 1 species